AAGUAUGGUCAGACCACCCUGAACGCUCCUGAUCUCGGCUGAUCUCGGAAGCUAAGCAGGGUCGGGCCUGGUUAGUAUUUGGAUGGGCGCUACCUAACAGUGGCCACUGAAUUCU
rnacentral:rRNA from 1 species